GCAGUAGCCGCGGUAAUACAGAGGGUGCGAGCGUUAAUCGGAUUUACUGGGCGUAAAGCGUGCGUAGGCGGCUUUUUAAGUCGGAUGUGAAAUCCCUGAGCUUAACUUAGGAAUUGCAUUCGAUACUGGGAAGCUAGAGUAUGGGAGAGGAUGGUAGAAUUCCAGGUGUAGCGGUGAAAUGCGUAGAGAUCUGGAGGAAUACCGAUGGCGAAGGCAGCCAUCUGGCCUAAUACUGACGCUGAGGUACGAAAGCAUGGGGAGCAAACAGGAUUAGAUACCCGGGUAGUCCCUGUCUCUUAUAC
rnacentral:rRNA from 1 species